rnacentral:misc_RNA from 1 species
UUAACAUUUUAUUUGCUCAAUUUCUUCAGACAGAUUCUAUAGGAAACUCAAAGGUUAUAUUUAACCUCCCGCCAGGCAUAUGUGAGUCCGGAAACGUGGCUCGGACGUUGCCACCCAUCUCUGACCGCAAUUUACUGGGUAUGAGGAUGGGGCAGCACACCUCCGAAACACGCUCUGGAGCCCAGCGGAAGCAACAGGACGGCGUACACAGGGUGGGUGUAUAUACAGCUCACGCCAGCAGCAUGACUGAAAUUACAUGAUAAUGAUCCUUCCGCAGGUUCACCUACGGAAA